rnacentral:rRNA from 1 species
GACGUAGGAGGCAAGCGUUAUCCGGAUUUACUGGGCGUAAAGCGCGUGCAGGCGGUUUGGUAAGUUGGAUGUGAAAGCUCCUGGCUCAACUAGGAGAGGUCGUUCAAUACUGCCGGACUAGAGGAUGGUAGAGGAAGGUGGAAUUCCGGGUGUAGUGGUGAAAUGCGUAGAUAUCCGGAGGAACACCAGUGGCGAAAGCGGCCUUCUGGACCAUUUCUGACGCUCAGACGCGAAAGCUAGGGUAGCAAACGGG